GAUGAACGCUGGCGGCGUGCUUAACACAUGCAAGUCGAACGGAAAGGCCCAAGGUUGCUUGGGUACUCGAGUGGCGAACGGGUGAGUAACACGCGGGUGAUCUGCCCUGCACUUCGGGGUAUGCCUGGGGAACUGGGGCUAAUACCGGAUAGGACCACAUUUUGGGCGGUGUGGUGGAAAGUAUUUCGGUUUGGGAUGGGCUCGCGGCCUAUCCGCUUGUUGGUGGGGUAAUGGCUUACCAAGGCGUUGACGGGUAGCCGGCCUGAGAGGGUGUACGGCCACAUUGGGACUGAGAGACGGCGCAGAAUGCUACGGGAGGCAGCGGUGGGGAAUAUUACACAAUAGGCGCAAGCCUGAUGCAGCGACGCCGCGUGGGGGAUGACGGCCUUCGGGUUGUAAACUCCUUUCGCUAGGGACGAAGCGCUAGUGACGGUACCUGGAGAAGAAGCACCGGCUAACUACGUG
rnacentral:rRNA from 1 species